CUCAUGUGAUCUCUACAGCCGUGGCCAAUCCCCCCAUCACUAUGGCACAACAGCAACAUCAACAGCAGCAGCAACAACAAAUGCAACACCACCACCAGCCACCGGUAUACAAUGCUGUUCUUCCUGGCUCCCCUCCUUCAGGUGGACAUUCUGGAAUGGCACUAGGGCCAUCGAACAGUCCCAUUCUUGGAGCACCCAUGCCUUGCUCUACAUUCUUUCCAAGGCAUGAUCGUCGAUUAGCUGUUGUGAAUCGGUGGACACAUCCAAAUGUGGGCCCUGAGAAGCCUGGUGGUGUGAACAGUGGGAUAACAGACUUAACACAAUUCCAAGGCAUGCCCCCUCACUGGGGUGUGGGAAUAAGAGGAGGAGAGGGGGGUCUGGAUGAGUACAAGAGAUACUAUGGGCCAAUUGAUCCAGAAGGCUUAGGGGUUUCUGCUGAACCUCAAAUCAUAGGCAUCCAACCUCCAAAAACUAAGCAUCGAGGGACAAAAUCCUCUGGAAACCCACGGUUACCUCCUAAAAGUCAAGCCUCUGGACACUUACCAAUUAACCCUGCUUUGCCACAUCCCUCUCCACCUCUGCAAUCUAUCUGGAGGAGAAGCAGCUUCUCAAAAAGGAAGGGUUCAGGGGGGCCACUCUAUGAAAACAUCCUUCCAUUCGGAAGGAGAGGUGGUGGCAGAUAUGGAAUGAGGGAUGGUGGUGGGAGAAGAGGACGUCGUCCUCCUCCUCUUCCUCUGCCUAUACCUGUGCCCAUCUCUUCCCCAACACAGACUCCGCCCUCACCUUCUCCAUAUGUAUGCUACACAUCCACUUCCUCCAGCAGCUCCAGCACCUCCAGUUCAUCCUCUUCUUCAGAAUCAGUCUCCCGAUCCAAUUCUCCCUCUUCUUCAUCAUCGUACACAUCAUCACAGAGCUUCAGAUACCGGGCAGAUGUACCAGAUGUGUAUGAGGACUAUGACACAGAUGAGCUUACGGAGGAGUCAAGCCUGCUUUUGGGGAGGAGAAAAAGUCGUUCAGGGAUGUCUUUCCGAUCCCUGCCUAGCAGUCCUCCACCACCACCUAUACCACCCCGUAAACCUUGCGGACAGAGGGCGCACGUGAGAGACAGAACAGGCAGCCAGAUUGCACAGCUUCAAGAGUGGUGGGCUUCUUGGGGAGAGAAAGAAAAGGGUAGAAGAGCAACUGGAGAUAGAGAUGUUAAGGAGGAGAAACAACAUCAUAAAGAAAGUGAAAGAGAGAGAAAGAGGAGGAAGAAGGGUAGAAAGAAAAAGAAGAGAGAACAGCGUGAAAAAGAAAGGGAGCGCAAAAGGCGUAAGGUGAAAAAGAAAAAGAAAAAAGAGGAAAAAUCAAGAAGGAGGGAGAGGGAAAAACGAUUUGAACAAGAGGAGGUAGAUAUGGACAGGAAAGAUGUCUUUGAAAAAGGAAUAGGAGAAGAAUACUCUUCUUAUCCUGCACUGAGGCGAAGCUCUUUCCGAAAAAAGAGUGAAAGCUCUACAAGGAGUUAUGAUAGGGAUAUUAUCAGAGAUGGAGUAAAGAGAGAUAGGGAUGAUCAAGGUGGAGAAGAUGAAGAAGGCAGUAGAGGAACUGAAAGACAUCAGAGAAGCCCAAAAUCACAACGUCACUCCAGGCCAAGGUCCAACAACAAGCAUUUUUCUUGCUCAAACAAAACUUCUUCAACCGUCAAAUUUUGGAGUAGCAGAAACCCAACUUCUGAUUCACCACCAUCUUUUGUACCCUUGCUUCCCAUAUAUAAAAGACGAAAGUCUGUAGGAGCCGAGAGAAAUGAGCGAGAAAGAAGUGGAGAGAAUCAGCCCCUUUUGGAAAAAAACAAGAGAGUUAAGCCUUGCUCGAGAGAAGGCCUGUCAUUUCACGAAUGGGAUUCCAAGGAAGAAGAAGAAGAUGAGUCUGAACUGGAAAGAUGUAGGCCACAAGAACAGGGGCGACGACGAGAAAGCAGAGGAAUGGACUCUGAAUCUGAAAGGGACAGAGAAAAAACUGUUGAGAUAUACACAGAUGAUGAAGGUUCCUCAGGAGAGUUUGGUAAGUUUGAGAGAUAUUGGGAGGGUCACGAAGGAAGGGCAGUUGGAGGCAUUGGAGGAGGAGGAUGGUUCUUUGGCACCUACCCUGCCAGAGAAAGAGGAGGCAGCAUAAACAGUAGAGAAGACUCUUUUUUGGGGUGGGGUGGUGGAGAAAGUAGCUUGGGUUUCAGAGCAGGAACAGGGUGGGGAUCAGAAGGAUUAGGAUCACAUCAGUGGCCUACAACUCCGUUGACUCCCCCACCUCCUCGAAGAUACUGGUCUGUUGAUAAAUUACCAGUGAAGACUGAAAAGAAAUCUAAAAGCAGGUCUCAAGAGAAGAGUCGAGUCCACACAUCCUGUUCCUGCCAGUCACCCCAUCACUUUGCUAGCACUCACUCCAAAUGGAAUCGGGUGACUUCUAGGAGUCAGGAGGAGCUACUCCCUCACUGCCAUAGUUUCAGCAGCAGUGUAAGACCCAAACGGCAAUCAUCCAAACCGGAUCGGGCGCAGAGCCAGGCAAAAUCUGGAAGCCAAUCCAACCUUAGUGCACAAAGACCACAACGCUCAGACCGGUCCCGACAACCACCAUCCCCUCCUCAGAGUCUACCGCCAUCUUUACCCUCUCCAGUGGUCCCUGCACUCCCAGCCCCACCCUCUUCCUCUCACCAUAUACAUGUACCUCCACCUACCUCCUCUUCAUCAGUGUCCUCCACUUCGGUUGUCUCAUCUACACCUGGUGCCCCACAGCCCUCCUCUUUGUCCUCCUCUAGUGCUAAGCUCCAGUACCAGAAACUGCGAUCGGUUCCCCAACCCCAAAGGUAUCAAUCCCCACAUCUUCCCCUCAAAACCAAGAGCCUGUGCUCUCGUCGAGGCUCUGCCCACUUCUCCAGUGUGGAGAGUGAGGUCUGAGGAACAUAAUUAAAUGAGGAACAUCAGCAAGUAGCCCCUAGGGGCGAUCAAAUCACAUGCUCAUACCACAAACUGUUCAUAGCAGUCGAGUUGGGUUGUUUUCGCUGGCACCGAUCUAAUGCACAAUGCUCUAAUGCUCAGAGACAAACCUGGAUUGGGAUGUCACAUAAAUUGUAGCCCUUUCUCUUUACUUGUGUAAGAAUGGAACACUGCCAUGCUGACGAAUCUUGUUGAUGUUAGCGAGGCUGUUUGUAUGGGAUUGGCUUUGCUUUUCUUACUUCUUGGGGGCUUUAAGGUGGAGCGUCAAUAAUGUGGGUAAAUGUGAUUUUUCUUGGAGUGUUUUGCUGUUCGAUGGCUCUGGAACGAUUUUUCGAAGGGAGAUUCUGAGGUCAAAAUACAAAGCCCUAACAUCCCACACCCAUCUUUUUUUUUCUCUUGCUCUCAGAGCUCUGAAUCAUGAUUUAAUUGUUGUGUAUAUUCAUUCAAAAUAUCUCAAGGGAAGCACUCACAAAGGAAAGUAGCAAACCAUUUUUCUCUUCUCAGAGCAUUUUUCUUGACCUCCACCUUCCG
ensembl:lncRNA